rnacentral:lncRNA from 1 species
UUUUUUUUUUUUUUUUUUUUUUUUUGUCUUUUUGNNNNNNNNNAUUUCUUGGGCCGCUCCCUCAGCAUAGGCAUAUGGAGGUUCCCAGGCUAGGGGUUGAAUUGGAGCUGUAGCCGCCAGCCUACACCAGAGCCACAGCAACACAGGAUCCGAGCCGUGUCUGCAACCUACACCACAGCUCACGGCAACGCCGGAUCGUCAACCCACUGAGCAAGGGCAGGGACCGAACCUGCAACCUCAUGGGUCCUAGUCGGAUUCUUUAACCACUGCGCCAUGACGGGAACUCCGACUUCCAGUGUUUUAACCUCAGCACUUUGCCCCCAGCAGGUCCAGGAGUCCUGAGUGUGCCCACCCUGGCCCUACCCUCUGUUCCAGUUGGUGUAUCUGGAGCAAUUUCCGCCUUCACCCCACUCAUCUUUAUUGAACAUCUGCCUGUGCUCUGAAGAGCGCGUUUGGGGGCAGGGCCAGCAGACACUGGCCUCUGUGCUCAUGGAGCCCACGGCCCAGCCCAGGACAGAGAUGCUAAGCAGAAAGCUUUAAAGGAGGCAGCAGAGUGGGAACAGGAAGAGUGAGAGAGUGAGCUCUCCAGGUGGAGGAGGAAGAAGAGGGGCAGGCGGUGAGCCGAGGAUGGCACCUGGGCCACCAAGCGGGAGGCUCCACCAGCAGGCAUCGGGCUGCCAUCCUGCCUGAGCUGCACAGAAGCUUGGCCGGCCGUCUGGCAGCCCGAAGUUCCUAGCGCAACGUGGAUUUCCUGACCUGUGGAGCUCACACUUUCACUCAGCAUUGGCUCUGGAACAUUCACACCUGCACGGCCUGGAGCCUGCUCCCUUCCCAGAGGGAGGGGUCCACGGGGUCCACGAGCUGUGUCCUCUGCUGCCCCUGAACUGUCUCACUCCCUCGGGGACCAGGCCGCCGAGGACCACACUUCCCACCGGACAGCAGGUCACUCUUCUGAAUUCUAGGAGGCCUCCCUCCCAUCCCCCAUCGCCACUUCUGGGGUUUUCUUUGUGGUGCGCACAUGACGCAUCGCCCCCGCGUCCUUCCAGGAAGGACUUUGGCCCAGUUCUUGAAGUGGACACCUCCAGCUGUCAGAGGGCCCAGCCAUGGCCCCUGGCCCCGCGUCCUGGCCUUUGAGUGGUGGCCUGCCUCCCAAGGCUGAUGGAUGCGAGAGCAAGGGGCCUGCCAUUUGGGCCUCACACGGACGCCUCUGGUGAGCCAUUCUGACCGCGCAGCUCUCGCCGUGUGCUGAGCUGGCCUUGGCACCCUGCUUCCUCUCUUUCCUCCACGGGGCCGUCAAGACACCUUGUCUACCACUGCCUCCGAGUCGCCGUCUUGGAGACCCCAGCCCAGGAGCUUUAGUCGGGAACUGUCUGAUGGGCUUGGGCAGGCUCGCUCACUGCCUGGCCGGCACUGCCUGAGCGUGGGGCACUGCUGCACGUGGGGCACAGACAGGCCCGGGCAUGAGGCUGGGGUCCCGGGGGGAAGACAUUCAUCGGUGGUGAGCAGGGAUCCCACAGGAUGGGGACGCACCGACGGGCCCGCUGGACCAGGUGUUCGGAAUGCGAGGGAGCCACUGUCACGGCAGAGCUGAUGGGCGGGUGUGGCUCAGCUCUGUUGAAAGGCCGAAGAAAGGACGGUGGGCGCCUGGGAGCUGUUAUCCAGCCACUGGAGGCCACGGCCCUUGGGCCGCAAAUACUGGGGGAGGCCCCGCCUCUGCAGCCGAGCGCAGAAAGCAGCGAGGGUCAGGACAUGGACGUGACCGUCAGCGGGGCCGAGCUCCAAAGGAGCGUCGGCGGAUGUCCGCCUCCAGCACAGAGGCAGUUACAGGAACGCGAGUUACCAGCCUAUCGAAACAGCUCAAGCACUGGAGGAAAUCAGCAAGCAGUGGCUCUCAAGACACUGCACGUCAGUCGAUGACGGACAGUGACAUCUGAGAGUGACAAGCAAGGGCCGCACCCACAGAGGUUCCCAGGCUAGACCUCUAAUCGGAGCUACAGCUGCUGGCCUACCCCACAGCCACAGCAACGAGAGAUCCGAGCUGCGUCUGCGACCUACACCACAGCUCCACGGUAACGCCGGAUCCUUAACCCACUGAGCAAGGCCGGGGAUCGAACCUGCAUCCUCAUGGAUGGUAGUCAGAUUCGUUAACUGCUGAGCCACGAAGGGAACUCUGACAUAGUUUUAAAGGCGUCGGAUCGGCUUGGAUGAAGAGACAAAUGUGAAGCAGGUCAAGAACACGGGCCCUGGAGGUCCCGUCGAGGCGCCGCGGAAACAGGCCGACUAGGAACCAGGAGGCUGCGCUUAACCUGCUGCACCACCAGGGAGGUCCUUUUAUUUCUCCGGAUCAGGUGGAUCUGUUAUGUUUCCUAGUCUGGGAGAAGCGGUUUUUGUAGCAGACCCCCCAUGCGACGCAGCAGCACCCUCCCUCUGGUCACCAGAGCUGUAUGCUCCAGCGUGCCCUCUGUGUGGGCUGCCAGGGUCCUUCUGCGCUGCCAGGGCCUGCCACUGUGGGCGCGCGGGUAGCGGGCUGGCCCCUGGCCGGUUGGGCUUUUGCAGACCUGGAUCACGCAGAGGGUCGCCCCCUGGGCGGGGUCUUGACUCUGGUCUCCGCCCCUCCUGCCCAUCUGGUGUGGCUCCCUCUUCCUCACUUUCGCUUUCGUUGGGAAGAGCCUUUCUGCUGCUCAUUCCCUGUAAAUAGCUGCAAUGUUGGUCCCUGUGGGAGGAGGUGGGCUCAGGGUCCCCCUGCUCCACCCCCUUGGCCUACACAUAACAAUGUGGCCUUGGCCAGGAAUUAGUCGCCAGACCACCUGGCUCUCUGGACCAGGGUCUGGAAAAUGCAGUCUUUAUUGGGUGGGUUUAUAUGCCAGCUAAACAUGGGGGGGGGGCCUUUUCUGAGGAACAAAUGGAAGAUGGGCAGGGGGGCGUGCUCCCCAUUCUGACGGUGUCCCCAGUCGUCUUCUCUGCUGCCAGCCAAGACUGUUUUUCUUGCAAAUGUCCCUUGUCACCUGCUUCAUAAUAAAUAGCUCUCUGUGAGGCUAUUCCCACCUGCACAGUAAUA